UGGGGGGGUGAAGAAGGGGCCGGCCUUCGAGCGACAGCGACGCAAGAUGGCAGCCACCACGGGCUCGGGAGUAAAAGUCCCUCGCAAUUUCCGACUGUUGGAAGAACUCGAAGAAGGCCAGAAAGGAGUAGGAGAUGGCACAGUUAGCUGGGGUCUAGAAGAUGACGAAGACAUGACACUUACAAGAUGGACAGGGAUGAUAAUUGGGCCUCCAAGAACA